rnacentral:misc_RNA from 1 species
AUGGUACAUCUUGGUGGAGCCUGGUUGGACAUUGUAAGGUGCAUGGUAUGCCUCUUGCAUAAUCUCGUAUAUGAGAUUAUCCACAUCUGACACACAUAUCCUAGAGCCUUGCAUAAGAGCAUCAUCUAUAUCAAACCCAAAUUCACACUUUUCUCCUUGCUGCGCCCUUUCUAAAAUUCUCAUUAAUUGUGGGUCUCUGUGUUGAGCAACUCUAAUCCUGUCCCGCAGUUCUGUCCUUACUCUAAAAGAUGCCAAUAGUGCACCCUCAUCUGAUAUAUCCAAGAUCAGACCCUGAUUCAUCAACUCAUAUAUAUCCUAAACCAAUGAUCUCCUUUUCGCUGAUAUAUGCGCCAAGCUGCCAGAAGAUUUUCUGCUCAAGAC